CAGCAGCCGCGGGAAUACGGAGGGGGCUAGCGUUGUUCGGAAUUACUGGGCGUAAAGCGUGCGCAGGCGGUUCGUUAAGACAGAUGUGAAAUCCCCGGGCUUAACCUGGGAACUGCAUUUGUGACUGGCGAGCUAGAGUAUGGCAGAGGGGGGUAGAAUUCCACGUGUAGCAGUGAAAUGCGUAGAUAUUGGGAAGAACACCGGUGGCGAAGGCGGCAACCUGGUCCUUGACUGACGCUGAGGCGCGAAAGCGUGGGGAGCAAACAGGAUUAGAUACCCGCGUAGUCCCUGUCUCUUAUAC
rnacentral:rRNA from 1 species